rnacentral:rRNA from 1 species
UACGUAGGGGGCAAGCGUUGUCCGGAUUUAUUGGGCGUAAAGAGCGUGUAGGCGGCUAGGUAGGUCCGUUGUGAAAACUCGAGGCUCAACCUCGAGACGCCGGUGGAAACCAUCUAGCUAGAGUCCGGAAGAGGAGAGUGGAAUUCCUGGUGUAGCGGUGAAAUGCGCAGAUAUCAGGAAGAACACCCGUGGCGAAGGCGGCUCGCUACACUAUUAUUGACGCUGAGGCACGAAAGCGUGGGGAUCAAACAGG